rnacentral:rRNA from 1 species
GACGAACGCUGGCGGCGUGCUUAACACAUGCAAGUCGAGCGGUAAGGCCCUUUCGGGGGUACACGAGCGGCGAACGGGUGAGUAACACGUGGGUGACCUGCCCUCAGCUCUGGGAUAAGCCUGGGAAACCGGGUCUAAUACCGGAUAUGACUCCAUGACGCAUGUUGUGGGGUGGAAAGCCUUGUGCGGCUGAGGAUGGGCCCGCGGCCUAUCAGCCUGUUGGUGGGGUGAUGGCCUACCAAGGCGACGACGGGUAGCCGGCCUGAGAGGGCGACCGGCCACACUGGGACUGAGACACGGCCCAGACUCCUACGGGAGGCAGCAGUGGGGAAUCUUGCGCAAUGGGCGAAAGCCUGACGCAGCGACGCCGCGUGAGGAUGAC